AAAAAGGGUGCUCGCUACUUUAAUAGCGCGUCGGCACGUCCUAAGCGGCGUGACGGCGGGGUAUGGCCAUCAAGACAUACCCAGUACGUAAUUUUUGGAACUGCGAGGCUGUUGGCUGCCAAUUUUGCACCGGCGCCUCC